rnacentral:ncRNA from 1 species
ACAACCACAAAGAAUAGGAAGAGUAAUACUUGGAUAUGUUGCAGAAAGAAAAUCCAUCGGCUGAAAGAUUUUCCAUUUAAAAGUAUGAAGGUAGCCUAGGAGUGGGAACCGUAUUGUCAACGUUAUAUGACCUAAAGAGAUAAGCGUAUUUGUAUGCUUAUAAGAUAGGUGGUACCGCGAGAUAAUCGUCCUAAAG